UACGAAGGGUGCAAGCGUUACUCGGAAUUACUGGGCGUAAAGCGUGCGUAGGUGGUUUGUUAAGUCUGAUGUGAAAGCCCUGGGCUCAACCUGGGAACGGCAUUGGAUACUGGCUUACUAGAGUGCGGUAGAGGGGUGUGGAAUUCCCGGUGUAGCAGUGAAAUGCGUAGAUAUCGGGAGGAACAUCUGUGGCGAAGGCGACACCCUGGACCAGCACUGACACUGAGGCACGAAAGCGUGGGGAGCGAACAGG
rnacentral:rRNA from 1 species